rnacentral:rRNA from 1 species
CUACAUGGAUACCUGUGGUAAUUCUAGAGCUAAUACAUGCUAAAAACCCCGACUCACGAAGGGGUGUAUUUAUUAGAUAAAAAACCAACGCCCUUCGGGGCUCCUUGGUGAAUCAUAAUAACUUAACGAAUCGCAUGGCCUUGCGCCGGCGAUGGUUCAUUCAAAUUUCUGCCCUAUCAACUUUCGAUGGUAGGAUAGUGGCCUACCAUGGUGGCAACGGGUAACGGGGAAUUAGGGUUCGAUUCCGGAGAGGGAGCCUGAGAAACGGCUACCACAUCCAAGGAAGGCAGCAGGCGCGCAAAUUACCCAAUCCCGAUACGGGGAGGUAGUGACAAUAAAUACUGAUACGGGGCUCUUUUGGGUCUCGUAAUUGGAAUGAGAACAAUUUAAAUCCCUUAACGAGGAACAAWUGGAGGGCAAGUCUGGUGCCAGCAGCCGCGGUAAUUCCAGCUCCAAUAGCGUAUAUUAAAGUUGUUGCAGUUAAAAAGCUCGUAGUUGAACCUUGGGUCUGGCUGGCCGGUCCGCCUCACCGCGAGUACUGGUCCGGCUGGCCUUWUCCUUCUGGGGGACCUCAUGGCCUUCACUGGCUGU